CAGCCGCCGCGGUAAUACCGGCGGCCCGAGUGGCGGUCACUAUUAUUGGGCUUAAAGCGUCCGUAGCCGGGUUGGGAAGUCCUCCGGGAAAUCUGGCCGCUUAAAGGUCAGAAUGCCGGAGGAUACUCCCAGCCUAGGGAGCGGGAGAGGCCGAGGGUAUUCCCGGAGUAGGGGGGAAAUCCUAUAAUCCCGGGAGGACCACCUGUGGCGAAGGCGCUCGGCUGGAACGCGUCCGACGGUGAGGGACGAAGGCCAGGGGAGCAAACCGGAUUAGAUACCCGGGUAGUCCUGGCUGUAAACGAUGCGGACUUUGUGUCGGACAAGCUAUGAGCUUGUCCGGUGCCGGAGGGAAACCGUUAAGUCCGCCGCCUGGGGAGUACGGCCGCAAGGCUGAAACUUAAAGGAAUUGGCGGG
rnacentral:rRNA from 1 species